CAGCCGCCGCGGUAAAACCAGCACCUCGAGUGGUCAGGAGGUUUAUUGGGCCUAAAGCAUCCGUAGCCGGUUGCAUAAGUUUUCGGUUAAAUCUAUGCGCUCAACGUAUAGGCCGCCGAAAAUACUGUGCAGCUAGGGAGUGGGAGAGGUACACGGUACUCAAUAGGAAGGGGUAAAAUCCUUUGAUCUAUUGAUGACCACCUGUGGCGAAGGCGGUCUACCAGAACACGUUCGACGGUGAGGGAUGAAAGCUGGGGGAGCAAACCGGAUUAGAUACCCGGGUAGUCCCAGCUGUAAACGAUGCACACUCGGUGAUGCAUUGGCUUGUGGCCAAUGCAGCGCCGCAGGGAAGCCGUUAAGUCUGCCGCCUGGGAAGUACGUACCCCAGUAUGAAACUUAAAGGAAUUGGCGGGCGAGCAC
rnacentral:rRNA from 2 species